rnacentral:lncRNA from 1 species
UGGCUAUGGAAGGUAAAAUGGAAAUUGCAACAAUAAAAUCCUAACUCUAAUAGAAUAUAAACUAAAAUCUAAUUAGACCAUAAUAAUUCUAAGCAAGCUUUAAUCAAAUUCAAAAAAACUUCAAAAAAAUUUCAAAGAAACAAUAAGAUAUCUUAAAAAAAUAUUAGAAUGAUCACAAAUUUAUCUCAAAUACAUCUCAAUUCAAUCAUAAUUUAAUCCUAAUUAAAAUCCUAUUAGACUUCAUUAAAACUUUAGGCCAAAACUAAUUAAAACUUAAAUCCUAAACAAAUCCUAAUAAAAUCCUAAAUCCUAAAUCAAAUCCUAAAUCCUAAACCAAACCCUAAAUUCUAAAUCAAAACCUAACCAAAUCUUAAACCAAAUUCUAUCCAAAUCCUAAACCAAACCCUAACCAAAUCCUAAACCCUAAAUCCUA